rnacentral:misc_RNA from 1 species
GAUGAAGAACGCAGCGAAAUGCGAUAAGUAAUGUGAAUUGCAGAAUUCAGUGAAUCAUCGAAUCUUUGAACGCACAUUGCGCCCUCUGGUAUUCCGGGGGGCAUGCCUGUUCGAGCGUCAUUAUAACCACUCAAGCUCUCGCUUGGUAUUGGGGUUCGCGGUUCCGCGGCCCCUAAAAUCAGUGGCGGUGCCUGUCGGCUCUACGCGUAGUAAUACUCCUCGCGAUUGAGUCCGGUAGGUCUACUUGCCAGCAACCCCCAAUUUUUACAGGUUGACAUCGGAUCAGGUAGGGAUACCCGCUGAACUUAAGCAUAUCAAUAAGCGGAGGA